ACACACACACACACACACACUCCUUUUCUCAUACUAUCUUCCAUCAUGUUCUAUCCCAAGAGAUUGGAUAUUAAUUCCCUGUGCUGUUAUGAUAGGACUUUAUUGCUUGUCUACUCUAAAUGCGAUAGUUUGCAUUUACCAGCCCUAAACUCCCAGUCCCUCCCGCUUCCUCCUUUUUAAGUGUUCAGUUGAGUGGCAUUAAAUACAUUCACCUUGUUGUGCAAGCAUCACACGAUCCAUCUUCAGAAUGUUCUCAUCAUCCCCCACUGAAACUGUACCCAUUAAACACUAACUCCCCAUCCCCUGCCUCUUCUCCAGCCCCUGGUUACCACCGCUCUACUUUCUUGCUGUCCUUAUGACUCUUCCUGGUACUUAUAUACAUACAUACUAAUAUACAUAAUUCCUGGUACAUAAUAUACAUACUCUCUGUAUGAUUCUAAAUGGAAUCACACAAUAUUUGUCCUUUUGUAACUGGCUUAUUUUACUUGGCAUAAUGUCCUCAAGGUUCAUCCAUGUUGUAGCAUGUAUCAGAAUUUCAUUCCUUUUUAAAGCUGAAUAACAUUCAUAUUAUUCAUAAUUUAUAUAUAUAUGUUAUAUCUAUAUAACACAUUUUGUUUAUCCAUUCAUUCAUUGAUGGACAUUUGGGUUGUUCAUACCUUUUGGCUAUUGUAAAUAAUGCUACCUGAACAUGGGUUACAGAUAUGUGUUUGAGUCCCUGCUUUCAAUUCUUUUGUGUAUAUACCCAGAAGGAGACUUGCUGGAUCGUAUGAUAAUUCUACUUUUGAUUUUUUGAAGAACCACCAUUCUGUUUUCCACAAUGGCUGCACCAUUUUUCAUUCCCAGUGGGUAGUUUUUCCUAGGCUGCCUUAUUGACUUGCAGAAUAAGGCAGAAGUAACAGGAUGUUAGCUCCAAUGUCAGGUUAUAAAAGGCUUGUCCUGGGCACUCCUUGAAUCUGCUGACUCUGAGGGAAGCAAACUGCCAUGUUGUAAGCUACCCUGUGGAGAGCCCCACACAGCAAGGAACUAAGGUAUCCAGCCAACAGCCAAGAAGCACCCAAGGCUGCCAACAGCCACAUGUGUGCUUUUGGAAGCAGACCAUCCCCUCUCAAGCCUUGAGACGACUCUAGCCCCUGUGGACAGUGCAGCCUUGAGGGAGACCUUGAGCCAGAGACCUCCAUCUAAGCCGUGCCUGGAUUCCUGACCCCAAAGAACUGUGAGAUUAUAAGUGUUCACUUGAGCUUCUAAGUUUGGGGUAUCAUCUGCUAAGUAGCAAUAGGUAACUGAUAUAGUGAGGCUAGAUAAAGGUUUAUUAAGAAGAGAGAAAGUAAAUGGGUUUGUAUGCUGCUGCAAAUCAUCUUGUAGAAGGAAAAAUCCAGGAGAGAGAGGAGAGAACUGUGGAGGUGAUGCCCUUUGUUAGAGGGGAUGCGAUCUUGUGGACAGGAGAGGGACUGGCUUUAAACAGAAGCCAAAGUUCAUCUACACAAUGAGAGGGUGAAUUCCCUAGAGAAAUACCACGUGACGUUUGCGGUCAUGCAUCUAAAGUGAAACCAGCAAGAAAGUCUGUGUGAUUUUUCUCCAGCCGCAUUUAGCUGCCCGGAUUUGGACAUGGAGUCAGUGAUGCUGGACUGAACCAGGGAUUCUGUUGCCAGGAAAAGAUGACAUAGCUAAAGGAAACAAAGGGUUGAUAGUAUUCUACACACAGUGUGUACUAUAUACUCCAAGGGUUGUAGUACUUGUAAUAGUAGGUAACAUGUGGCACAUAUCGUGUAAUAUGUAUGCUACAUGGUAUUCUAUAGUAUUACAAUGGUUGGCCAUGGAUAGUGACAUGGUAGAAUCAAUUAACCGAGGUCCCAGUGGGGACAAAGGAUUGUUGGAGUUAGGGUACUUUAGAGAAAGACCCUGGUGAUUAGAGGGUUGAUACAGAAAUCGAGAUGAGGGAUGGAGUGCAGUUAUAGGAGACACCUAUGAGAGAGAGUGACUGAGAGAGGGUGGAGGGCAGGUUGUUGGAAGAAAGAAGUUCAAGGAACUAAAACACCAAAGGUAUGGGGGGGAGGGGGGAUGGAUCAUCUAUACUGAAACUGCAACACGGAGAGGGAGUAGAAAUAAAUUAUAAAGAGGCUAUUAAUGAAAAUGUAUUUUUAUUGGUGACAUCAUUAAAAAAAUCUACAACCAAAUUGCAAAAACAAUAGAACUUAAUGGCAAACACUCUCUGUUUGGCACUAUCUAUUCAAAGUAGUUUAUGUAGCUUAACUCAUUGAAUCCUCAGAACCACUCUGUGAGGUAAGUAUUGUUCUUGUUCCCAACUGACAGAUGAGGAAACUGGCACAGAGAAGUUAAGCUGGAGUUGGAGGAGUUGAGAUUUUAGCCCUAUCCAUCUAGUCUGGAGUCCUUUCUUUUUAUCACUACACUGUACUGCUUCCCUCUGCCCCCUUCGUCAAUUCUCUCUUCUCUAGAGAGUUCCUAAGGUAGCAGGGUCAAUGUGUCACCAAAUAGGAUAUGAUCUUGAAUUCAUUGUUGUGCUUGCUUGUGUGUUAAUCUUGCCUCCACAACUAAGAGCUCAGAUACACCUGUAAUUCUCACUGCCCUCCUCUGAGCCCACAUGCAUGCACACACACACUCCCAUGUGAACACACACACACAUGCUUGUACAUCCCUCUGCCACACAUAGAGCUGGAUACGCAGGUGAGCGCCUUCCCAGUAGAGGUGGAAUAGGGCAGUGAUUGUGAACAGAUUAUGGAGCCCUCUGCUGGGCUCAAAUCCUGGCUCUGCAGUCCUGGGUGGGCUGUGUGACCUUGGGCAAGUUGCUUUUGCUCUGCUGAGGCUUCAUUUCUCAAUUUAAAAACGGGAACCCUAAUAGCCCCUUCCUCACAGAGCUGUUGUAAAGGUAAGUAUGAAUCACCAAACCCCAAGCAAAUGUUCCACACAAAUUAUUAUUGUUGUUACUGUUAUUAUUACUAUUACAAUUUCCCCUUCUUUUCCUAUCACUCUCCCUCCUUCUGGGCCACUGGCUUUCUUGUAAUUCCUUGAAUAUGUUCUUUCCUGCCUCUUGGACUUGGCAUUUGCUGUGGCCUCUGCCUGAAUCAUUUUUGCUCUACAUUUUCAUGAGAUAAGUUCCUCUGAUUCAGGUCUUUGCUCAAAUGUCACCUCCUCAAGGAGACCUUAGAUGAUUAUCUUAUCUAACACUCACACAUGCACCCACCCACGUUUCACUCUUUACCCUUUUACUAUUUGCACAGCACUCAUGGCUACCCGAAGUUAUUAUAUAUAUUAAUUGCUUAUCGUCUGUCUCCCUCCCUAAAAUAGAAGCUCCCGUAAGACAAGGACUUUGUAUUCCUUGUUCAUGGCCAUAUUCUAGAG
rnacentral:lncRNA from 1 species